rnacentral:rRNA from 1 species
UACGUAGGCGGAAAAUUAAGUCAGUAGUGAAAUCCUGCAGCUUAACUGUAGAACUGUUAUUGAUACUGGUUUUCUUGAAUAUUGUUGAGGUAGGCGGAAUGUGUAAUGCAGCGGUGAAAUGCUUAGAUAUUACACAGAACACCGAUUGCGAAGGCAGCUUACUAAGCAAUUAUUGACGCUGAGGUACGAAAGCGUGGGGAGCGAACAGGAUUAGAUACCCUGGUAGUCC